rnacentral:rRNA from 1 species
UACGUAGGGGGCUAGCGUUGUCCGGAAUCAUUGGGCGUAAAGAGCGUGUAGGCGGUCCGGUAAGUCCGUUGUGAAAGUCAGGGGCUCAACCCUUGAAUGCCGGCGGAUACUGUCGGGCUAGAGUCCGGAAGAGGCAAGUGGAAUUCCCGGUGUAGCGGUGAAAUGCGCAGAUAUCGGGAGGAACACCAGUGGCGAAGGCGACUACCUGGCCUGUUCUUGACGCUGAGGCGCGAAAGCUAGGGGAGCAAACGGG